rnacentral:rRNA from 1 species
UACGGAGGGAGCUAGCGUUGUUCGGAAUUACUGGGCGUAAAGCGCGCGUAGGCGGCUUUGUAAGUUAGAGGUGAAAGCCCGGGGCUCAACCCCGGAAUUGCCUUUAAGACUGCAUCGCUUGAAUCCGGGAGAGGGAUGUGGAAUUCCAGGUGUAGCGGUGAAAUGCGUAGAUAUCUGGAGGAACACCGGUGGCGAAGGCGGCAUCCUGGACCGGCAUUGACGCUGAGGAGCGAAAGCCAGGGGAGCAAACGGG